GAUUAUGGCUCAGAACGAACGCUGGCGGCGCGUCUUAAGCAUGCAAGUCGAACGGCAAGAGGUAGCAAUACCUCCUAGAGUGGCGGACUGGUGAGUAACACGUGGGUGACAUACCCUUCAGAUGGGGAUAGCUAUUAGAAAUAGUAGAUAAUACCGAAUACGAGCACAGGGGUUAGAGAUCUGUGAGGAAAGGAGCUAAGGCUCCGCUGAAGGAAUGGCCUGCGGCCCAUUAGCUAGUUGGUGAGGUAAGAGCCCACCAAGGCGAUGAUGGGUAUCCGGCCUUAGAGGGUGAACGGACACAUUGGGACUGAGAUACGGCCCAGACUCCUACGGGAGGCAGCAGCUAAGAAUAUUCCGCAAUGGACGAAAGCCUGACGGAGCGACGCCGCGUGGAUGAAGAAGGCCGGAAGGUUGUAAAAUCCUUUUGAAACUGAAGAAUAAGCGUUGUAGGGAAUGACAGCGUGGUGACAGUAGGUUUUGAAUAAGCAACGGCUAAUUACGUGCCAGCCGCCGC
rnacentral:rRNA from 1 species